rnacentral:rRNA from 1 species
AUGUCUACAAGCCAAGUGAUCACCGACAAGCAAGCAUCCACCCAUCAUGGAGAUACUAGUGAGAGAAUGAACCACCACAAAGAGAGUGAGCGCCACAAGCCCAAAUUGAGUGACUCUUCGCCAAGAGAGAAAAACUUAGUACUCUUAGCCACCAAAAGAGAGAUGAGAGAAGUGUGUGAGAACCUAUCGAGUGUCAUGCACUAUGUCCUAUUGUGCAAAGAUGAGGUGGCAAAGACUAACACUCCUAAUCCUCUUCCUCUAGUGUUGUCUGAUUUGUUGCAGGAAUUCGUGGAUGUCUUUCUGGAUGAUCUCCCACUCGGUCUUCCUCCUAUACGUGGAAUCGAACAUCGGAUCGACCUCAUCACCGGCGCACCUCUUCCUAACAAGGCUCCAUACCGUGUCAACCCCGAAGAAACCAAAGAAGUACAAAGGCAAGUCCAACAUCUCAUAGAAUGGACAUAUGAAUGA